rnacentral:rRNA from 1 species
UACGAAGGGGGCUAGCGUUGCUCGGAAUCACUGGGCGUAAAGGGUGCGUAGGCGGGUUUUUAAGUCAGGGGUGAAAUCCUGGAGCUCAACUCCAGAACUGCCUUCGAUACUGAGAGUCUUGAGUCCGGGAGAGGUGAGUGGAAUUCCUAGUGUAGAGGUGAAAUUCGUAGAUAUUAGGAAGAACACCAAUGGCGAAGGCAGCACUCUGGGACGUGACUGACGCUGAGACGCGAAAGCGUGGGUAGCAAACAGG